UACUACGGGAGGCAGCAGUGGGGAAUAUUGCACAAUGGGCGAAAGCCUGAUGCAGCCAUGCCGCGUGUAUGAAGAAGGCCUUCGGGUUGUAAAGUACUUUCAGUUGUGAGGAAGGGGGUGUCGUUAAUAGCGGCAUCUCUUGACGUUAGCAACAGAAGAAGCACCGGCUAACUCCGUGCCAGCAGCCGCGGUAAUACGGAGGGUGCGAGCGUUAAUCGGAAUUACUGGGCGUAAAGCGCAUGCAGGUGGUUCAUUAAGUCAGAUGUGAAAGCCCGGGGCUCAACCUCGGAACUGCAUUUGAAACUGGUGAACUAGAGUACUGUAGAGGGGGGUAGAAUUUCAGGUGUAGCGGUGAAAUGCGUAGAGAUCUGAAGGAAUACCAGUGGCGAAGGCGGCCCCCUGGACAGAUACUGACACUCAGAUGCGAAAGCGUGGGGAGCAAACAGGAUUAGAUACCCUGGUAGUCCACGCCGUAAACGAUGUCUACUUGGAGGUUGUGGCCUUGAGCCGUGGCUUUCGGAGCUAACGCGUUAAGUAGACCGCC
rnacentral:rRNA from 1 species